rnacentral:rRNA from 1 species
CCUACGGGAGGCAGCAGUGAGGAAUAUUGGUCAAUGGGCGGAAGCCUGAACCAGCCAAGUCGCGUGAGGGAUUAAGGCCCUGCGGGUCGUAAACCUCUUUUGCCGGGGAGCAGUGGUCCGGACGCGUCCGCACCGGGAGAGUACCCGGAGAAAAAGCAUCGGCUAACCCCGUGCCAGCAGCCGCGGGAAUCCGGAGGAUGCGAGCGUUAUCCGGAUUUAUGGGGUUAAAAGGGUGCGUAGGCGGGCAUUUAAGCCGGCGGUCAAAUGUCGGGGCUCAACCCCGGCCUGCCGUCGGAACUGGGUGCCUUGAGUGGGCGAGAAGUAUGCGGAAUGCGUGGUGUAGCGGUGAAAUGCAUAGAUAUCACGCAGAACCCCGAUUGCGAAGGCAGCAUACCGGCGCCCUACUGACGCUGAGGCACGAAAGUGCGGGUAUCGAACAGGAUUAGAUACCCUUGUAGUC